UGACAUGUAACUCAACUGGCAGAGUACCCGGCUUUUAACCGGGAGGUUAUGAGUUCAAAUCUCAUCAUGUCUA
rnacentral:tRNA from 1 species